rnacentral:lncRNA from 1 species
CCAAAUGUUAAUGGAAAGGCCGGAUUGGCCGCGUGGAAGUAUUUCGGUUUUCUACUCUGGAGGACUCAGAUUCGAGUCUCGAAUUCCACCCGUUGAAAGUGUUUAUCGUGGAGUCCGGGCCCGGGCCGCCGAUUCCGUCCUCCACAGUCCGGUUGACUCUUCCGUAGGGGUGGGUAGCUUGUGGAAGGGCUUGCUUCGUAUGGCAUUUAGUGUUCUUCCUGAGUGGAGGGUGGCGUCAUCUGUUGACAAAAAAAAAACAUGAAUCAGAAGACGAAGUUACUCAUACUAUUGAAUAAUAUGAUGUAUUAUUUUUACUUUUUAAUUUUUUAAGUAAAAUUGUUGAAUUUUAGUAUGAUUAUAGAACUCUAAGGAAUAAAAUAAACAUAAUCAGAAAAACGAAUUUAUUUAGGAAAACUAUUUUUUUAAAGAAUUUUUAAAUUUUAAGAUUUUCACAUAGAUUUUUUUUCUAUUAAUAUUACAGAUAUGAAAAAAUUAAUUAAU